rnacentral:rRNA from 1 species
UACGUAGGGUGCAAGCGUUAUCCAGAUUUACUGGGCGUAAAGCGCGCGCAGGCGGAUGAUUAAGUCAGCUGUGAAAGCCCCGGGCUCAACCUGGGAAUUGCAUUUGAGACUGUGUAGCUAGGGUGCGGAAGAGGGAAGCGGAAUUUCCGGUGUAGCGGUGAAAUGCGUAGAUAUCGGAAGGAACACCAGUGGCGAAAGCGGCUUCCUGGUCCAGCACCGACGUUCAGGCACGAAAGCGUGGGGAGCAAACAGG